rnacentral:rRNA from 1 species
GGGCCCGCACAAGCGGUGGAGUAUGUGGUUUAAUUCGAUGCAACGCGAAGAACCUUACCAGGGUUUGACAUCCUGCGAAUCUCUUGGAAACGAGAGAGUGCCUUCGGGAGCGCAGUGACAGGUGGUGCAUGGCUGUCGUCAGCUCGUGUCGUGAGAUGUUGGGUUAAGUCCCGCAACGAGCGCAACCCACGUCUUUAGUUGCCAGCAUUUAGUUGGGCACUUUAAGGAAACUGCCGGUGAUAAGCCGGAGGAAGGUGGGGAUGACGUCAAGUCCUCAUGGCCCUUACAGGCUGGGCUACACACGUGCUACAAUGGCGUUGACAGUGGGCAGCUAGACCGCGAGGUCAUGCUAAUCUCUAAAAGACGUCUCAGUUCGGAUUGUUCUCUGCAACUCGAGAGCAUGAAGGCGGAAUCGCUAGUAAUCG